GGUAAAAUGGCUGAGAAUUAGGUAAUAAACUGUAAAUUUAUUUAGGAAAUUUUAAAUUUCUUUUACCA
rnacentral:tRNA from 1 species